UACGGAGGGUGCAAGCGUUAUCCGGAUUCACUGGGUUUAAAGGGUGCGUAGGUGGGAAAGUAAGUCAGUGGUGAAAUCUCCGUGCUUAACACGGAAACUGCCAUUGAUACUAUUUUUCUUGAAUUUUCUGGAGGUCAGCGGAAUAUGUCAUGUAGCUGGUGAAAUGCUUAGAUAUGACAUAGAACACCAAUUGCGAAGGCAGCU
rnacentral:rRNA from 1 species